rnacentral:rRNA from 1 species
AGCGAACGCUGGCGGCAGGCCUAACACAUGCAAGUCGAACGAAGUCUUCGGACUUAGUGGCGGACGGGUGAGUAACACGUGGGAACGUGCCUUUAGGUUCGGAAUAACUCAGGGAAACUUGUGCUAAUACCGAAUGUGCCCUUCGGGGGAAAGAUUUAUCGCCUUUAGAGCGGCCCGCGUCUGAUUAGCUAGUUGGUGAGGUAAAGGCUCACCAAGGCGACGAUCAGUAGCUGGUCUGAGAGGAUGAUCAGCCACAUUGGGACUGAGACACGGCCCAAACUCCUACGGGAGGCAGCAGGGGGGGAUCUUGCGCAAUGGGCGAAAGCCUGACGCAUCCAUGCCGCGUGAAUGAUGAAGGUCUUAGGAUUGUAAAAUUCUUUCACCGGGGACGAUAAUGACGGUACCCGGAGAAGAAGCCCCGGCUAACUUCGUGCCAGCCGCCGCCGUAA